AUUGAACGCUGGCGGCAUGCCUUACACAUGCAAGUCGAACGGCAGCACGGGUGCUUGCACCUGGUGGCGAGUGGCGAACGGGUGAGUAAUACAUCGGAACAUGUCCUGCAGUGGGGGAUAGCCCGGCGAAAGCCGGAUUAAUACCGCAUACGAUCUACGGAUGAAAGCGGGGGACCUUCGGGCCUCGCGCUAUAGGGUUGGCCGAUGGCUGAUUAGCUAGUUGGUGGGGUAAAGGCCUACCAAGGCGACGAUCAGUAGCUGGUCUGAGAGGACGACCAGCCACACUGGGACUGAGACACGGCCCAGACUCCUACGGGAGGCAGCAGUGGGGAAUUUUGGACAAUGGGCGAAAGCCUGAUCCAGCAAUGCCGCGUGUGUGAAGAAGGCCUUCGGGUUGUAAAGCACUUUUGUCCGGAAAGAAAUCCUUGGCCCUAAUACGGUCGGGGGAUGACGGUACCGGAAGAAUAAGCACCGGCUAACUACGUG
rnacentral:rRNA from 1 species